GGAUCACCAGGAUCUCACUAUGGGAUCAGCGGGCUGUCUGUAUGGGAUCAGCAGACUGUUCCUAUGGGAUCUGUAGGCUGUCUGUAUGGGAUCAGCAGGCUGUCCCUAUGGGAUCAGUAGGCUGUCCGUAUGGGAUCAGAAGGCUGUCCAUGUGGGAUCAGUGGGCUGUCUGUAUGGGAUCAGCAGGCUGUUCCUAUGGGAUCAGCAGGAUCUCACUAUGGGAUCAGUGGGCUGUCUGUAUGGGAUCAGCAGGAUCUCACUAUGGGAUCAGCAGGCUGUCCCUAUGGGAUCAGUAGGAUCUCACUAUGGGACCACCAGGCUGUCCGUGUGGGAUCAGUGGGCUGUCUGUAUGGGAUGAGGCGGCUGUCCAUAUGGAAUCAGUGGGCUGUCUGUAUGGGAUCAGUAGGAUCUCACUAUGGGACCACCAGGCUGUCUGUAUGGGAUCAGCAGGCUGUCCCUAUGGGAUCAGUAGGCUGUCUGUAUGGGAUCAGAAGGCUGUCCGUGUGGGAUCAGUGGGCUGUCUGUAUGGGAUCAGCAGGCUGUUCCUAUGGGAUCAGCAGGAUCUCACUAUGGGAUCAGUGGGCUGUCUGUAUGGGAUCAGAAGGUUGUCCGUGUGGGAUCAGUGGGCUGUCUGUAUGGGAUCAGCAGGAUCUCACUAUGGGAUCAGUAGGAUCUCUCUAUGGGAUCAGCAGGAUCUCACUAUGGGAUCAGCAGGCUGUCCGUGUGGGAUCAGUGGGCUGUCUGUAUGGGAUGAGGCGGCUGUCCGUAUGGGAUCAGUGGGCUGUCUGUAUGGGAUCAGCAGGAUCUCACUAGGGGAUCAGUAGGCUGUCUGUAUGGGAUCAGAAGGUUGUCCGUGUGGGAUCAGUGGGCUGUCUGUAUGGGAUCAGCAGGAUCUCACUAUGGGAUCAGUAGGAUCUCUCUAUGGGAUCAGCAGGAUCUCACUAUGGGACCACCAGGCUGUCCGUAUGGGAUCAGUGGGCUGUCUGUAUGGGAUGAGGUGGCUGUCCAUAUGGAAUCAGUGUGCUGUCUGUAUGGGAUCAGUAGGAUCUCACUAUGGGAUCAGCAGGCUGUCCGUAUGGGAUCAGAAGGCUGUCUGUGUGGGAUCGGUGGGCUGUCUGUAUGGGAUCAGCAGGCUGUUCCUAUGGGAUCAGUAGGAUCUCUCUAUGGGAUCAGCAGGAUCUCACUAUGGGAUCAGUAGGAUCUCACUAUGGGACCACCAGGCUGUCCGUGUGGGAUCAGUGGGCUGUCUGUAUGGGAUGAGGUGGCUGUCCGUAUGGGAUCAGUGGGUUGUCUGUAUGGGAUCAGCAGGAUCUCACUAUGGGACCACCAGGCUGUCCGUGUGGGAUCAGUGGGCUGUCUGUAUGGGAUGAGGCGGCUGCCCGUAUGAUAUCAGUGGGCUGUCUGUAUGGGAUCAGCAGGAUCUCACUAUGGGAUCAGCAGGCUGUCCGUAUGGGAUCAGAAGGCUGCCCGUGUGGGAUCAGUGGGCUGUCUGUAUGGGAUCAGCAGGAUCUCACUAUGGGAUCAGUAGGAUCUCUCUAUGGGAUCAGCAGGCUGUCCGUAUGGGAUCAGAAGGCUGCCCGUGUGGGAUCAGUGGGCUGUCUGUAUGGGAUGAGGCGGCUGCCCAUAUGGGAUCAGUGGGCUGUCUGUAUGGGAUCAGCAGGCUGUUCCUAUGGGAUCAGCAGGAUCUCACUAUGGGAUCAGUGAGCUGUCUGUAUGGGAUCAGAAGGCUGUCCGUGUGGGAUCAGUGGGCUGUCUGUAUGGGAUCAGCAGGCUGUUCCUAUGGGAUCAGCAGGCUGUCCCUAUGGGAUCAGUAGGCUGUCCGUAUGGGAUCAGAAGGCUGUCCGUGUGGGAUCAGUGGGCUGUCUGUAUGGGAUGAGGCGGCUGCCUGUAUGGGAUCAGUGGGCUGUCUGUAUGGGAUCAGCAGGCUGUUCCUAUGGGAUCAGUGGGCUGUCUGUAUGGGAUCAGCAGGCUGUCACUAUGGGAUCAGUAGGCUGUCCGUAUGGGAUCAGAAGGCUGUCUGUAUGGGAUCAGUAGGAUGUCACUAUGGGAUCAGCAGGCUGUCACUAUGGGAUCACCGCAACGUCACCAUGGGAUCAGAAGGCUGUCUGUAUGGGAUCAGUAGGAUGUCACUAUGGGAUCAGAAGGCUGUCACUAUGGGAUCACCGCAACGUCACCAUGGGAUCAGCAGGCUGUCUGUAUGGGAUCACCAGGAUGUCCCUAUGGGAUCACCAAGCUGUCCCUAUGAGAUCAGCAGGAUGUCACUAUGGGAUCAGCAGGCUGUCUGUAUGGGAUCAGCAGACUGUCCCUAUGGGAUCUGUAGGCUGUCCGUAUGGGAUCAGAAGGCUGACCUAAUGGGAUCAGUGGGCUGUCUGUAUGGGAUCAGCAGGCUGUUCCUAUGGGAUAAGCAGGAUCUCUCUAUGGGAUCAGUAGGAUCUCACUAUGGGACCACCAGGCUGUCCGUGUGGGAUCAGUGGGCUGUCUGUAUGGGAUGAGGCGGCUGUCCAUAUGGAAUCAGUGGGCUGUCUGUAUGGGAUCAGUAGGAUCUCACUAUGGGACCACCAGGCAGUCCGUGUGGGAUCAGUGGGCUGUCUGUAUGGGAUGAGGCGGCUGUCCAUAUGGAAUCAGUGGGCUGUCUGUAUGGGAUCAGUAGGAUCUCACUAUGGGACCACCAGGCUGUCUGUGUGGGAUCAGAAGGCUGUCCCUAUGGGAUCAGUGGGCUGUCCGUAUGGGAUCAGAAGGCUGUCCGUGUGGGAUCAGUGGGCUGUCUGUAUGGGAUCAGCAGGCUGUUCCUAUGGGAUCAGUAGGAUCUCUCCAUGGGAUCAGCACACUGUCCAUAUGGGAUCAAUGGGCUGUCUGUAUGGGAUCAGCAGGCUGUCCGUAUGGGAUCAGCGGGCUGUCUGUAUGGGAUCAGUGGGCUGUCUGUAUGGGAUCAGCAGGAUCUCACUAUGGGACCAUCAGGCUGUCCGUGUGGGAUCAGCGGUGUGGUGCUGUGCGGUGCGG
ensembl:lncRNA